rnacentral:rRNA from 1 species
GGAAGGAGAAGUCGUAACAAGGUUUCCGUAGGUGAACCUGCGGAAGGAUCAUUGUCGUGACCCUGACCAAAACAGACCGUGAACGCGUCAUCUUGCCUGCCAGCGGCGGCCCUGNCCGUCGCUUGGCCAAAGUCCUCGAUAACCUCCUCUCCUCGGAGUGGGGGCUCGGGGUAAAAGAACCCACGGCGCCUAAGGCGUCAAGGAACACUGUGCCUAACCCGGGGAAGCGGCUGGCUUGCUAGCUGCCCCUCGUGUUGCAAUGCUAUUUAAUCCACACGACUCUCGGCAACNGGAUAUCUCGGCUCUCGCAUCGAUGAAGNAACGUAGCGAAAUGCGAUACCUGGUGUGNAAUUGCAGAAUCCCGCGAACCAUCGAGUCUUUGAACGCAAGUUGCGCCCGAGGCCACUUGGCCGAGGGCACGCCUGCCUGGGCGUCACGCCAAACACGCUCCCACCCCUCAUCGGGUGGUGGGAUGCGGCAUGUGGCUCCCCGUCUCGCAAGGGGCGGUGGGCCGAAGAUGCGGCUGCCGGCGUAUUGUGCCGGACACAGCGCGUGGUGGGCGAACUCGCUUUACUUACCGCAGUGCAUCCGGCCCAUAGCCGAUGUGAUGGCCUUAAGGACCCUAUGAACGGAGCGCAUGACGCUCCGACCGCGACCCCAGGU